rnacentral:lncRNA from 1 species
UAGAAACAGAAUGCAUACUCAAAUGGAAUAAUAUAGAACAGACUAUGUACCAAGAUGUGAGCAGGAAUAAUGAGAAUCAGCUAGUGAUAAUGAAGCAUUCUGGGCAUAGCAACAGCAGAAGUUCCCACUUUGAGGCCUGAAGAAUUCAAUGACGCAGUGUUACAGGACUAGUAAGAGCUUUAGGUGUAGAAAAGGACCAAUGCUAAUAAUUUGAGGCUUUGAAAGAGGAACCUCCACCAACCUAAGAACUUGAAGGGAGAAAACUUAAGGAAAAAUUAUCUUAACAUCUCUUCUUUCAUCCUCUGAUCUCCAGCUGAUGACUCCCAAACGGCUGAAACAAAGUAGAGUUUCGAGAGCUGGUUUACAUGACAUUUUUAGACCAAAUUAUGCAUUGGAUAUAAUUCUAUGCACUGGGGUUUUCUUGGACCACAUGACUUGAUUUCUUCUCUCACGGAGUUUAAAGCCAAGCCGUUGUCAGUUUAUGAAGUACCUGAAGUGGAAAAAAAGCGUUUCAUAGCUUGAACAUUUCCUUGGAAAAGCAAAGCAGAAAACAGACACAACAUCAAUAUGUACUGUCAAAGCUCUCAUCUCAAGAAGCAAAAUACAAUAAAAGAUUUCCCCAAAUGCCA